rnacentral:rRNA from 1 species
GACGAACGCUGGCGGCGUGCUUAACACAUGCAAGUCGAACGGAAAGGCCCUGCUUUUGUGGGGUGCUCGAGUGGCGAACGGGUGAGUAACACGUGAGUAACCUGCCCUUGACUUUGGGAUAACUUCAGGAAACUGGGGCUCAUACCGGAUAGGAGCUCCUGCUGCAUGGUGGGGGUUGGAAAGUUUCGGCGGUUGGGGAUGGACUCGCGGCUUAUCAGCUUGUUGGCGGGGUAGUGGCUUACCAAGGCUUUGACGGGUAGCCGGCCUGAGAGGGUGACCGGCCACAUUGGGACUGAGAUACGGCCCAGACUCCUACGGGAGGCAGCAGUGGGGAAUAUUGCACAAUGGGCGGAAGCCUGAUGCAGCAACGCCGCGUGCGGGAUGACGGCCUUCGGGUUGUAAACCGCUUUCGCCUGUGACGAAGCGUGAGUGACGGUAAUGGGUAAAGAAGCACCGGCUAACUACGUG